CAACAGCGUCUUCUCGAGGCCACCACGCAGCCCACCGUAGCGCCCACUCUCCCCUCACACUCUCGGGCCCGUUCUUUCGGGACGCGCUGCUACAAACCCGUGCCCGCCACAGCCCAGGGCAGCUCAGACGCAUGCAGGACACCGCCAAGGAGAGCCGCUGGGGACGCGCCUCCCCGGGCCAGCCCCGCUCCGCCGCCCGGCCAGCACCCCGUCCCUGACGCGCAACCUCCUCUCCCCGCAGCAAACCUUCUCUUUAUUAUAUUCCCUUAUUUCGGGCGGGGAGAGAAGGCUCGGCCUGCCUGCUGCCGCCACCGCGCUCCGCCGACCCGCGGCCCCGCGCGCAAAGGCCGCCAACCGCCGCCAGGGGGCGCCCGAGCGCGGCAGGACCCGCACGGCACCGCGGCGGAGGGAAGCAGCCGCCCGCCGAACGCGGAGACGCCGCGCGGCUCGGAAGCUCACCUCGCGGGGCGGGGCUCCGCGGCGCGGCCCCGGCGGUCGGGCUCAAGAUGGCACUCCGGCGCGAGCGCAGCCCGCCCAGGGACCGCGGGGCACGCCGGGACGCGCCGUCCCCUCCACGGAAGCAGAGCGGGGGCGGCACCGAGCCGCCGGCGAGCGGGGAUGUGCGCCGCCAACGGCCGCGUGGGCACCCUACGGGGAGGGCUGCCCUCAUCUCUGCGGUCAGAGGGGCACGGGGGAAAACCGGCCCUGGUCACUGACACAGGUUGUAAUCGCUUGUACAGCUGCCAGCUUGCAACGCUGCCAUUCCCACACCUCUGCGGCAGUGAACUUUAUCAUACCAAAAUUAGCUGGUUUUGCGCAAUUGGACACACGUUUUCGACACAUACACAAGCAUACUUUCCCUUUAUUUGCCCUGCUUCUGUAAAGUCUUACAUCUUAAAAAAAACACACACACCCAGAACAAAGUCAUCAGAAGCUCUGGCAAGUCACUGCUGUUUUUGUGCUCUCCUGACCAAACAGGUUUCCCCACUACAACCCGAUGAUUUCACACCUAAGCGUGAGGCCUGUGCCAAAGUUCACAUGGCCCCUGAGCUGCACCAGCCGGGCUCUGAGGAGCAGCAUCCCUUACUUCUGCUCCGGCUGCUGCUGGCAUCCAGCACCUCACUCCCAGCGCUGUCAUGCUGCAUGUUGCACAUCAAUUAA
rnacentral:lncRNA from 1 species